rnacentral:rRNA from 1 species
CGUCAUGUCAUUAAGUUGGUGUGGCGGGGAAUCAGGACUGUUACUUUGAAAAAAUUAGAGUGUUUAAAGCAGGCUCGCGCUUGAAUACAUUAGCAUGGAAUAAUGAAAUAGGACGUUUGACCCUAUUUUGUUGGUUUCUAGGAUCGACGUAAUGAUUAAUAGGGAUAGUUGGGGGCAUUAGUAUUCNAUUGUCAGAGGUGAAAUUCUUGGAUUUAUUGAAGACUAACUACUGCGAAAGCAUUUGCCAAGGAUGUUUUCAUCAAUCAAGAACGAAAGUUAGGGGAUCGAAGACGAUCAGAUACCGUCGUAGUCUUAACCAUAAACUAUGCCGACUAGGGAUCGGAUGAUGUUAAUUUUUUAAUGACUCAUUCGGCGCCUUACGGGAAACCAAAGUGUUUGGGUUCCGGGGGGAGUAUGGUCGCAAGGCUGAAACUUAAAGGAAUUGACGGAAGGGCACCACCAGGGGUGGAGCCUGCG